rnacentral:rRNA from 1 species
AUGUCUCUCCUCAGCUCCCCCACGCCGUUCGGCGCGGCCACCGCCGCCCGCCAUCGCCUCCCACUCCUGGGCCGCCGCGCCGCGCUGCAUGUGGCGCUCGCGCGCCGGGCCGGCGUCUCGUCCCGCACGCAGCGGCGCCUCGAGGAGCGCGGCGGCAAGAAGCGCCGCGGCGGCGUCGAGACCCCCGACGCGGACGAGGACACCGGCCCGGCGUGGGAGGGCGUGGAGUGGGAGGGGGAGCCGCUGGGGUUCGAGGUGUCGACGGAGCCCAUGCCGUACCUGCCGGACCCGGAGAAGCCCGACUUCUGGGAGGGGCCCAACAUGGAGGUCCUCGGCUUCUUCGUGCAGUACAUGUGGGCCUUCGGCGUCUUCUUCUCCUUGGUUGCUUGCGGCGUUGCCGUGGCUACAUAUAACGAUGGGGCAUCAGACUUCAGAGACACUCCUGCUUUUAAGGAAUCAACCCAAGUCCAGGAGUUCCCCGAAGAGUCAGAAUCAUCUGGCGCCGAUGUGUUUGAAGGUAAUCCAACUGAGGUAGCACCAGCUCUUGAGUAG